CUUAUUUCAAGAGCAAAUUUUCAAUACGUCCUAAGUAACAAAAUAAACAAAACUAAGAUUUUUGCAUAUUUUCAUACCUAAUAUUCUGCUUAAUGAUGUGUAGCAACAUCACAAUUCAACAGUUGUUAAAACCUUUUUAAAAUGAAGAAAAUCAAACUGACUUAAGUAACAAAGUGAGCACUUUUCAUAUGUGUCGCUUUGUCGGUACAAUGACUUAUGUAACGCUCGUAACUCACAGCUGACGUAAGUGCGUUGUCACAACGUCUUAAGUAACAAAUUUAUGUAAACACGAUACAAAAGCGUUUACGGCAAAACAAAGACUAUGUCCUUCCACGCAUUUCAAAGUACCAAUGGGAUGAGCGGACCAAGGAGCGGACCAUGAUCAGUCUUAGCCGUCCCAAGUGACACCCCAAAGAAAAAAAAGCAUCAGCGGCGGGUAAGUUCUGAUGAUCGUGACUACAAUUUUUAACCCGUUAUUUCAACAAACGUUUUCUCUCUAACUGCAGAUUCUACGUCUUGCCGGUGUUGCGGGUCAAAGCGUUGGACCUGUUGCUGGAUCGGUUGGUGGUGACCUUAGUACGGUGAUGGCCGUUUGCAGAUCGGCCCAGUACAUCAGUACACACCAUGCGAGUUCUUGAGGCCGACAAAUUUCUGCAUACCCAUAUUGAUGAUUCGACGUUCACUGGACCUCACUUUGAUGGACAGCACAACCGAGAAGCAGUGCAAAGAGAUGCAAUCGGUGGCCGCGAGAAAAUAAUACACAUUACGGGGUCCAAGUGCUUCGAACGAUUCACGGUACCUUAUCAGGAAGGUCUUCCAGCAGCGUUCGGAUUGCUAUCGUAACACAGAGUGAACUUCGUUGAAUGUCAGAUGGUUUCGAAAUGCACCAGCUGGACAUCCGGAAGCGAACAUGAUCGAAUGCCUGAGAUCCUUGUCCUACAAGCUAUUACUGGGACAAUCGUAUAGUUCGUGCUGCGUUGCAACUUCAAUGCCGAAAAAUCGACGACUGGUGAAGUUGACCCGAGAUCUAUCGUUCCUGUUGGGCCGGCCGCUGCAAUACAAAAAAGUUGAUCUCACCUCAUCGGAGACCAAGGUCACUAAAUCAUUUCUGCAAAAUAGAAUCAAUCCCAACCGUGAGCUGGAACGGCAAGGACGACGUCUUCGAUUACCAGAAAUCUUUCGAAGCGGAAGAAACCCGCCCCAAAAACGCAAUUUUACCAGCAUAUGCAACACCAGGCGCAGAUUGUGGUCCAACUGCAGGCCCAAUCACAGCAUUUCCAGCAGUUGAUAAGCACCAGCAGCCGCAACACCAGGAAGGUCAUCUAACCAAGGAGGAAAUCGAGCGGCUCCUGUAGUCCUGGCUCAAUAUAUAAAACUCUCUCAUCAUCGUUUCUAUCUUCUAAGAUCGUGUAUAUGGUAGGAUGAAGGAAUAAAGCACCGUUCAAUUUU